UACGAAGGGGGCUAGCGUUGUUCGGAAUCACUGGGCGUAAAGGGCGCGUAGGCGGCCGAUCAAGUCGGGGGUGAAAGCCUGUGGCUCAACCACAGAAUUGCCUUCGAUACUGUUUGGCUUGAGACCGGAAGAGGUUAGUGGAACUGCGAGUGUAGAGGUGAAAUUCGUAGAUAUUCGCAAGAACACCAGUGGCGAAGGCGGCUUUCUGGGACGGUACUGACGCUGAGACGCGAAAGCGUGGGGAGCGAACAGG
rnacentral:rRNA from 1 species